rnacentral:rRNA from 1 species
GACGAACGCUGGCGGCGUGCUUAACACAUGCAAGUCGAACGGAAAGGCCCUGCUUUUGUGGGGUGCUCGAGUGGCGAACGGGUGAGUAACACGUGAGUAUCCUGCCCUUGACUUUGGGAUAACUUCAGGAAACUGGGGCUAAUACCGGAUAGGAGCUCCUGCUGCAUGUUGGGGGUUGGAAAGUUUCGGCGGUUGGGGAUGGACUCGCGGCUUAUCAGCUUGUUGGUGGGGUAGUGGCUUACCAAGGCUUUGACGGGUAGCCGGCCUGAGAGGGUGACCGGCCACAUUGGGACUGAGAUACGGCCCAGACUCCUACGGGAGGCAGCAGGGGGGAAUAUUGCACAAUGGGCGGAAGCCUGAUGCAGCAACGCCGCGUGCGGGAUGACGGCCUUCGGGUUGUAAACCGCUUUCGCCGGUGACGAAGCGUGAGUGACGGUAAUGGGUAAAGAAGCACCGGCUAACUACGUG